rnacentral:rRNA from 1 species
GACGAACGCUGGCGGCGUGCUUAACACAUGCAAGUCGAACGGUGAAGCGCCUUCCUUUUUGGUGGGUGUGGAUGAGUGGCGAACGGGUGAGUAACACGUGAGUAACCUGCCCCCUUCUUCUGGAUAACCGCAUGAAAGUGUGGCUAAUACGGGAUAUUCUGGGUCUGUCGCAUGAUGGGUCUGGGAAAGAUAUUGUUUCGGUGGGGGAUGGGCUCGCGGCCUAUCAGCUUGUUGGUGGGGUGAUGGCCUACCAAGGCGGUGACGGGUAGCCGGCCUGAGAGGGUGGACGGUCACACUGGGACGGAGACACGGCCCAGACUCCUACGGGAGGCAGCAGGGGGGAAUAUUGCACAAUGGGCGCAAGCCUGAUGCAGCGACGCCGCGUGAGGGAUGGAGGCCUUCGGGUUGUGAACCUCUUUCGCCAGUGAAGCAGGCCCGCCUCGUUUGUGGGUGGGUUGACGGUAGCUGGAUAAGAAGCGCCGGCUAACUACGUG